CACCGACAACGGUCGCACCGUGGCCGACACCUAGCGAGUAUCGUUUACGGCUAGGACUACCCGGGUAUCUAAUCCGGUUCGUGCCCCUAGCUUUCGUCCCUUGCCGUCAGGUCCGUUCUGGUGAGACGCMUUCGCCACUGGUGGUCCUUCAAGGAUUACAAGAUUUCACCCCUACCCCUGAAGUACCUCUCACCUCUCCCGGCCUCGAGCCGAACAGUAUCUCCUGAAAGCCCAACAGUUGAGCUGCUGGAUUUCUCAAGAGACCUAUCCGGCCGGCUACAGACCCUUUAGACCCAAUAAUAACGGUUACCACUCGAGCCGCCGGUGUUACCGCGGCGGCUGGCACCGGUCUUGCCCGGCCCUUGCUAUGCAAUGCUUUUUAGGCAUCACGACAGCCAGAUUUGUAACCUGGCACUCGAGGUCCCCUUAUCGC
rnacentral:rRNA from 1 species